rnacentral:rRNA from 1 species
AUGUCGGCCCUGCACCUCGACACCAAUGCCAUGCUUUUCGGCGGCCAGCGAAAACGUGUGGGAAGAAAAAACAGUAAGAAGACUAUGCAAUCCCUUACCACUAAAUCGAAGUACCUAUCCGAGGCUUCAAGUUUACCGCAUCCUCCACGGCACCCCCUGGCUGCCAACACCAUGUCAUGUGUUCCCGCACCAAGUUCCGGUAGCUCUCUGUCACCUCGCAGUAGCAGCCAUGAGUUCCUGGGAAAGGCUCGCACGAGAGCAGCUCAGUCAUUCCCAAAGAACGGGCUAAGAUGCAGAAAUACACCUCGCUCCAAUAGAAAAGAAUCACCAGGUCCAGCCUCACCAAUGUAUACUCGUCGGAGUUCUUCCUGUCAGGAGUUCACCAGCUGUGUUGACUCCUGA